rnacentral:rRNA from 1 species
CCGACGGUGAGGGGUGAAAGCUUGGGUCACGAACCGGAUUAGAUACCCGGGUAGUCCAAGCUGUAAACGAUGCUCGCUAGGUGUGGCACUGGCUACGAGCCAGUGCUGUGCCGUAGGGAAGCCGAGAAGCAAGCCGCCUGGGAAGUACGUCCGCAAGGAUGAAACUUAAAGGAAUUGGCGGGGGAGCACUACAACCGGAGGAGCCUGCGGUUUAAUUGGACUCAACGCCGGACAUCUCACCAGCACCGACAGUGUGCGAUGAAGAUCAGUGUGAUGAGCUUAUUGGAGCCACUGAGAGGAGGUGCAUGGCCGCCGUCAGCUCGUACCGUGAGGCGUCCUGUUAAGUCAGGCAACGAGCGAGACCCGCAUCCUUAAUUGCCAGCAGUACCCUUGUGGUAGCUGGGUACAUUAGGGAGACUGCCGUGGCCAACACGGAGGAAGGAACGGGCAACGGUAGGUCCGCAUGCCCCUAAAAGGGCG